CCUACGGGAGGCAGCAGUGGGGAAUAUUGCACAAUGGGGGAAACCCUGAUGCAGCGACGCCGCGUGAGUGAUGAAGUAUUUCGGUAUGUAAAGCUCUAUCAGCAGGGAAGAUAAUGACGGUACCUGACUAAGAAGCUCCGGCUAAAUACGUGCCAGCAGCCGCGGUAAUACGUAUGGAGCAAGCGUUAUCCGGAUUUACUGGGUGUAAAGGGAGCGCAGACGGCAGGGCAAGUCUGAUGUGAAAGUCCGGGGCUCAACCCCGGGACUGCAUUGGAAACUGUCCGGCUAGAGUGCAGGAGAGGUAAGUGGAAUUCCUAGUGUAGCGGUGAAAUGCGUAGAUAUCACACAGAACACCGAUUGCGAAGGCAUCUGACGAAUCGGAGAUUGACGCUGAUGCACGAAAGCGUGGGUAUCGAACAGGAUUAGAUACCCCAGUAGUC
rnacentral:rRNA from 1 species